GUAUGUCACAAUUAUAUAUAAAUAAGAACUCAGCCCAGUGGAAGAAAUCUCAUAUUUUUUUGAAGCAUACAGAGUUUUCAGAGCUCCUGUCUCCAGAAAUAAAGCUUAGCCAUUGUCAAAUAAUAUGCUGUGAGCUGAACCAACUUCUCUAUGUGAAGCCAUAAUUAAGGAUACAGUCACAGAUACUCAGAGCCUUUACUUAAUCUUCCCAUUGAUGUCCUGUACUUCUAUAUAAAAUUGCACUCUUGAAAGGGAUAAUGCAAAAUGAUAACUCAGAAUUAAGAUUGUUUCAUUUAAAUCAGUUUAACUGAAGUAUUUGGGUUGUUUUUGGCUUUUUAAACUCAGCUUCCUGGUGGGAUUCACCUAAUUCCUUUCACCAAUAGAGCAAAGAAAAUUUAACCUCCUAAUUGUAUAUGCCUUGUGGCUCAAAGUUAAAAUUUAAAAAACAAAAAGGUCCAUGAGAGCAGAGCCAGAUUUUGAGCCAUGUGUGUAAUUGAGAUGAUGAGUACUCUAUUUAUAGAAUUCAAACAAGGAAUCUGACUUUUUUUACAUUUUAAACCUGUUAUUAUAAAUACACUGAGCUACACAGAUAUGUUCUUCACCUUAGCACAAAUGUUUAAGGUUAGAUAAUUGAUUCUAGGUAAGGAAUGACACUUCCUUGAAAAGACUAAAUUCAUUGUAUAAUUAGUGAUCUCUGUGAUCUGAUAGUGGCAAUACACACUUGGAUGCACCAACUAAAAUGAGGGAUUUACAAACAUCUUUGUGUCCCAAUAUCACAACAUUUCAGAACUAGAAAAUCAUGUGGUACAUUUAGAAUGUUCUUAUUUUAUAGACAAUGGAAAGCAGUAGACUGUAAUGGCUAAGAGCAAAGUUCCUGGACUCAGAACUAGCACCAAAUCAGAUCUGCCACUUUUUGGCCAGUAUCCCUGGAUAAAUUAUAGAUAAUAGCAUAUACAUUAACACUUAUUGAAUACUUACCACGUUCGAGCACGAUGCCAAGAACCUUAUAUGUAUAUUCAUUUAAUUCUCACAAGUAUGAGGUGUAGGUAUUGUUGUUACCCCCAAUAUAUAGAUGAGGAAAUGAAGCUUGUCAAGUUUGAAUAAAUUGCUUAAGUUGGUAGAAACUCUCAUACUAAAAUCAUAUUGGAUUGAGACUAAAGACUAUGCUAUUACGUGCUACCGCGUCCUGUACUGUUUUUCUUUGAUGUUCUGAGCCUCAGUUUUUCCAACUGUAGUUUGUGCAACAAUAUCUCACUUGUGUUAAUUAAAGAAAUAUGCAAAAGUACCUAGAAAUAGAAAACCAAAACUCUCAGUGAUUAAAACUCAUUUCUCAUAUCCAAACAGCAAUUUAUUGUUGUUGUUGUUAUUAAACAGAGUGUGUCACUUGGGCUUCAUGUUUAUAUCAAGCUGAUCAGUAUAUCAUGAUAAUGAAUUUUACCUGUUGACAACCUAUUGCUUCACAACCUUUCUGCCUUAUCCUAUUUUUUUCUUUAAAGAUUUUAUUUAUCCAUUCAUGAGAGACACACAGAGAGAAAGAGGCAGAGACACAGGCAGAGGGAGAAGCAGGCUCCAUGCAGGGAGCCCGACGUGGGAUUCAAUCCCAGGUCUCCAGGAUCAUGCUCCAGGCUGAAGGCGGCGCUAAACUGCUAGAGCCACUGGGGCUGCCCCCUUAUCCUAUUUUCUAGGGCACACAACACUAGUUUAAAACAACCUCAUAUUACUUAAGAACAUGAGAUAACUUAAAAUAUUUAGAAAGCAGGAAACAGCCUACUGUAAAUUGGACACACUGGAGUUCAAGAGAAUUAGAAUUUCUUGAAUAAGAUGUGAGCAGAAACUUGUUGGAGCUGAUUUGCCAUCUUAUUUUGCGUUCUAGAAUUGUAAUUUGGAAUGUUUAGUAGGAAUUCUCUGAUGAAAGCUGGAAAAUUAAAACAUUCUAAAACCUUGUUAUAGUAAAUUAUUUGUGACUCCAUAAUUAGACUCCUCAGCAGUAGCCCAUGAUAGCUGCACUUGGACUUGCUCUUUUACCACGUUUCUCUAGGUAAUGAUGCAGGGACUGAUGAAGCAGCAAAAUGGGCCAAUGAGCUCAUCAUGCUCCAGAGAAUAUUCUGGUGUGCCCUGAAUAGACAUCUAGAAAUUCAUUUGAAUAGAGCCGACCUCUUUGUCCCAUAUCCGUGUCCCAUAUGUUGACAUGUAUGCAUCUGUGUCUCCUGGCUGUUCUCAUCGGUGUACUUGGCAAGCAAGAAUUCUCAGUAAGGGAAUAGAACAAUUAAGGAGAGAGAAGAGAGAAAGAAGGUGGAGUUAAUCCUGAAAAUUUACUGGGCAUUGAGCGUGCAGAGGAAAGGCCUAGAACUGAAUGACAAAGAAAGACAAAGGACUGAAGAACGGCAGAUACUGUGCAUCAUGGAAGCUUCCCCAUGAGUGUGUUUCCACUCAUGUGCAGGACCAGCAACCCUCUGGGUUUGAAAGGCUGGUUACUCAAGAGAUUUGAACAAAUGCCCAACUAUGGAGGUCGUAUGACUCUUACCAGCAUUUAUUUUGCCACGUUCUACAACAUCACCUAGUAAGCAGAGAGUUUUGAAUACUUCCACAAAUGUGGCAGCUGUUGACUUGGCAGCUUACUAGACUUCUCUUCAAGAAAGAACUGGCCUAUCUAUCAACGAAUGCCUUUGGAUCUGAGAAUUGGGCCAAGAAACCAGAGAGAAAGAGAGAGCACAAGCAAGGGGAGCAGCAGGCCGGGGGAGAGGGAGCCUGACAUGGGGCUCGAUCCCAGGACCCCGAGGUCACGACCUGAGCCCAAGGCCGACGCUUAACCAGCUGAGGCACCCAGGCGCCCCCAUGCACAUGAUCUUUAUUCAGAUGAUCGUCAAGCACCGUGAUGCACCAGCACUUCUGAGAACUGAGGAUACCGUCGUGUGCCCGAAGACACGGGCAGCUCUCUGGCGCCUCUUGCACUCGGAUCCUGCAGACUUAUGACUUACCAUUUUGAAGCAAGCUUUGAGGAUGGAUUACCAGGCACCUAAGUUAAUUUUUUUUAAUAUUAUUUAUUUAUUUGAGAGAGAGAGAGAGAGAGAGAGAAAGCAUGAACAGGGGAAGGGACAGAAGGAGAGGGAGAAGCAGACUCCCCGCUGAUCAUGGAACCCAACACGAGGCUCCAGGACCCCGAGAUCAUGACCUGAGUGGAAGUAAGCCACUUAGUCGACUGAGCCACCCAGGUGCCCCAACUAAGUUCAGUUUACCAGGGCCCUGAACAAAAUGACCAAAAUACAACAGAGCAAGACAUGGGAAACAUUCCUUACCUUUAAAGAAGACAAAAUUCCCAUCACUGUUUUCAUAAACUGCAUCGAUACUAGGAGGCAAGCCCCGCCAGAAAUUAUUUAUUUGAGAGAGAGAGCAUGCGAGAGAGAAGACAGGGCUAAGAGGAGUAGAG